GUGGGCUACGGCCAUCUGGGAGAGAGGAGAGGAGGAGCUUGCUUCGUAUGAGGGGUUCAUGGCUCUGUUCAGAGGUAUCUUCGAUCACCGGAGGGUAGAGAGGGUGGUGAGCCCCUACUCUAACUACGGCAGGAUGACCAGUGGGAGAGAGGAGAGGAGGAGCUUGCUUCGUAUGAGGGGUUCAUGGCUCUGUUCAGAGGUAUCUUCGAUCACCGGAGGGUAGAGAGGGUGGUGAGCCCCUACUCUAACUACGGCAGGAUGACCAGACCACUGUCGAGUACAUGCUCACCUUCUGAACAGUAGCAGCAUCCAGCGGAUGGAAUAAGCCGGUGCUCCAUACGCUAUUCAGAAGAGGACUGCGUGAUGAGGUCCAGACGGAACUGGCAUGUUGAGAGGAUCUCUCCUUGGACGCACUCAUUGCGAUGGCGUUCUGAAUGGAUAACCUAUUUCGGGAAUGUCGAUACCCUCAUCGCUCCCCGAGUGGCGCAACGUCUAAGGCACUCAGUGCUAGAGGCGUCACUACAAACCCUGUGACCACUCUGUAUCAGAGCCUGAACCCAUGGAGGUAGGGGUCACACACCUCUCUGUGGCUGAGCGACAGAGAGCAGAGGGACAGUCACGUGUUCUUCCACCUCCUGGGGCAGGUCCCUUGAUAAUCGGCUACUAGGAUCCGGAACCAUCACACCACUCACCUUCACCGUGGAGUCCAUUCAUCAGGAGAAACAUUCCCUUCUUGAACCAUUAGUGCACCAGCUCACAAGAUCAUCCUCGGCCUCCCAUGGCUCCAACGCCAUAACCCCACCAUCCCAUGGUCGAGGAUGAGAAUCAUGGACUGGGCACCCGAGUGCCGGAGAACCUGCUGUCCUGUCCCUUCUCGAGUCGUAGACCCUGUGGUCUGGGACAUAGAUGUGGACAUUAGCCAGAGUUCUAGCCAUGGGCCUAGUGAAAGUUAUUAACAAGCUCAAAUAUCCUGACCAAACAGGGUUUAUUAAGGGUUAUCAGGUAAUCAUUUCACGUGGUUUCUGAGGCUUCCGAUCUGGAUACCGUGAUCUGUGUUAUCAUUAGAUGCAGAGAAAGCCUUUGACCGCAUAGAGUGGGAAUAUUUUAUGGCUCGUUCUUGAACAUUUUGGUUUUGGAGCCAGAUUUAUACAUAUGAUCUGCACCAUGUAUGUGAAUCAUUCUUCUAUAUUUACUGGAACUCGAAUCCAUUUACCAUACAACGAGGAUGUAAACAAGGUUUACAUGCUAUUUGCUCUCUCUUGAACUGCUGGCACAAAGACAAAACAUACGUCAAGAUUCCGCUUCCUCAAGCAAUUUCUCUGUAUGCAGAUGACAUACUGCUCUACGUCCAAAAACCCAGAUAUCCCUCCAGCCAAUGUCUAUUUUCACAGCAUUCAGCUCAUGGUCUGGUUACAAGAUCAAAUCAAAUGGUAUUUGUCACUACAACAGAUGUAAACCUUAUAGUGAAAUGCUUACUUUACAAGCCCUUAACCAACGUUCCAGUUUUAAGAAAAUGCCUAAAAAGUACCAAAAAAAAGUAAGAGAUAAGAAAAACUAAUAAUCAACUGGUCUAAAUCAGCUUUACUACCUCUUAACUCAGCUAUGGGAAGUGUGAUACCAUUGAAUAAAUAAAUCACCAAAUUAUGCAUUACCAUAUCCCCCACUAUUCUCACCACUUGCAGGAAGAACUACUUAGAAACCUUUGCAUGCUAGAAUCUCAAUUAUUAAAAUUAAUGUCCUCCCUCGUAUCAAUUUUAUGAGUUCCAUGUUACAACUGUCCCAUAUAGACUAUUCAAAACUUUACUCUGUCAUAAAGAAGUUAAUUUGGGGGUGAAAGAGACCACAGAUUAAAUAUGCAACACUACAGAGAACAAAAGCAUCAGGUGGAGUUGCAGAUCCAAAUCAAAGCCCACAUUUCAUUUGGAGCAAAAAAAAGUAAUAAUAAUAAUACAAAUGUUUUUGCAUGUUAUU